UGCGCAAACUGACGACAGAUUGGUAGCAGAAACCGAGCAGAAUCUGCGAAUUUUGGCCAUUCAUAUAAAAUGGUGCAUUUAAAUGAAUUUAAAGGAUCUCAAACCCAAAUGGCAAAAUGACGGUGAAUUUUGGUCACAAAAUGAUCAAUUAGAUGUCCUAAGCUGGGUCUCAUAAAAUCCGAAAAUGGCAUCCAAUUGAGGUAACAAUUCAGUUCGCGCUCAAGCUGCUGCUGUCUUCGCAACUUCAGAAAGGACUGUCGGUUCUCCACUUUCUCUCUCUCCUUCGCAAACUCUCUACAAGCGUGAUACAGAUGACAUGGGAGCUUACUCGGGAGCACUUUUAUAAAGACUAAGUUUAGCAGGGGACUUUCUGGCAAUACCACUGAAUAUUCUAGCAAUAUCGGCAUAUUUGAUAAGCUAACUGUGUUUAAAUAAAAUAUCAUAGAAAAUAUUUCAGAAACAAAUUGUUGCUUUUUGCGAUAUACUUGUUUCGUAGAUUGCUUUAAACUAGCUUGUAUUAUGGUGUAAUAUAUUAUACACAGAAUUGUAUAAUCAAUUUAUUGUUAACUACUCUCUUAAAUACGCUUGGGAAUUCUUCCUAAUUAAAUAUUAAAAUAAUCUAGCGGUGGUUAAUUAAAUAAACGAGCUGCGAUACCAAAAAUUUACAUUUCUAUAAAAUACACAUUUUUCAUCGUAUUCUCAUCGCGUAUUCAGUACUAAGUAUGGUUAUAUAAUCUUGAAUUUUGUUUUUCACGUGUCAAAGAUCACAUACAAUCACUUUAACUAUAAAUAUAAUACAUGUAUAUAUCCAAUAAGAAAAUAAUAGAAAUUUAUAAAUUAAGAAACAUAGUAAGCUUUUUUGCAAUAAAAGAAAAUAAAUAUCAUACAAUAAGAUACUUUCAUAAAAUAUUAAUUAAGAUUUACUGUAAUUAAUAAUUUUACAAUUUUAGAAUAAGUAUUAUGUGUGUGUAUGUGUGAUGACUGACUCCUUUUAUAUUUUUCGGUAAUAAACUGAUGAUUGGUUUAUAU